rnacentral:rRNA from 1 species
GACGAACCGUGCAAACGUUGUUCGGAAUUAUUGGGGCGUAAAAGGGCUCGUAGGCGGAUCCGCCAGUCUGACGUGAAAUCUCCACCGCUCACCGGGGAGGGGCCGUUGGAUACUACGGAUCUGGAGUUUCGGGCAGAGGACCAUGGGAAUUUUCGGGUGUAGCGGUGGAAUGCGUAGAUAUCCGAAAGAACACCGGUGGCGAAGGCGGUGGUCUGGGCCUGAACUGACGCUGAGGAGCGAAAGCCGGGGAGCAAACGGG